ACCUGCCCAUCAGUCUGGGAUAACCACCGGAAACGGUGGCUAAUACCGGAUAUGUCUACGGAUGAAAGUCGGAUUUUCUGACACUGAUGGAUGGACCUGCGGCGCAUUAGCUAGUUGGUGAGGUAGUGGCUCACCAAGGCGACGAUGCGUAGCCGACCUGAGAGGGUGAUCGGCCACACUGGGACUGAGACACGGCCCAGACUCCUACGGGAGGCAGCAGUAGGGAAUCUUCCGCAAUGGACGCAAGUCUGACGGAGCAACGCCGCGUGAGUGAAGAAGGUUUUCGGAUCGUAAAGCUCUGUUGUUAAGGAAG
rnacentral:rRNA from 1 species